CUGAGACUUUAAGUCUCCUGAAGGAACGUUGAAGACGACGACGUUGAUAGGCCGGGUGUGUAAGCGCAGCGAUGCGUUGAGCUAACCGGUACUAAUGAACCGUGAGGCUUAACCUUACAACGCCGAAG
rnacentral:rRNA from 2 species